GACGAACGCUGGCGGCGUGCUUAACACAUGCAAGUCGAACGGUAAGGCUCCAGCUUGCUGGGGUACACGAUUGGCGAACGGGUGAGUAACACGCGGGUGACCUGCCCUGCACUUCGGGAUAAGCCUGGGAAACUGGGUCUAAUACCGGAUAGGACCGCACCGUGCGGGUGUGUCGGAAAGUUUUUUCGGUGUGGGAUUGGCGCGCGGCCUAUCAGCUUGCUGGUGGGGUAAUGGGUUACCAAGGGAGCGACGGGUAGCCCGCCUGGGAGCGGGGACGGCCACAAUGGGACUGAGGGACGGCGCAGAAGCCUACGUGCGGCAGCAGGCGAGAAUCUGGCACAAUGGGCGGAAGCCUGAUGCAGCGACGCCGCGUGGGGGAUGACGGCCUACUGGUUAUAAACUACUUUCACCAUCGACGAAGGGUUUCUGACGGUAGAUGGAGAGGAAGCAACGGCUAACUACGUG
rnacentral:rRNA from 1 species